AGKGGCGAACGGGUGAGUAACACGUGAGCAACCUGCCCUUGACUCUGGGAUAAGCCUGGGAAACUGGGUCUAAUACCGGAUAGGACUCCUCAUCGCAUGGUGGGGGGUGGAAAGCCUUGUGCGGUCUUGGAUGGGCUCGCGGCCUAUCAGCUUGUUGGUGGGGUGAUGGCCUACCAAGGCGACGACGGGUAGCCGGCCUGAGAGGGUGACCGGCCACACUGGGACUGAGACACGGCCCAGACUCCUACGGGAGGCAGCAGUGGGGAAUAUUGCACAAUGGGCGGAAGCCUGAUGCAGCGACGCCGCGUGGGGGAUGACGGCCUUCGGGUUGUAAACCCCUUUCAGCAGGGAAGAAGGGAAACUGACGGUACCUGCAGAAGAAGCGCCGGCUAACUACGUGCCAGCAGCCGCGGUAAUACGUAGGGCGCGAGCGUUAUCCGGAAUUAUUGGGCGUAAAGAGCUCGUAGGCGGCUUGUCGCGUCUGCUGUGAAAGCCCGGGGCUCAACCCCGGGUCUGCAGUGGGUACGGGCAGGCUGGAGUGCAGUAGGGGAGACUGGAAUUCCUGGUGUAGCGGUGAAAUGCGCAGAUAUCAG
rnacentral:rRNA from 1 species